GUUAAAACUCUUAAAACCAUAGACAUAGAGCAUAGAGCUCUGAUACUCCAUGGUUAAAACUAAAAUGAUUCUUUCGAAUUUUGUGACAUUUCAUCCGCUUUCUUUGUACGCUUCCUUUUCUAAGCAUUUAUAGGUAUAACCUAUAUAUAUCGUUGACGGAGCAAACUCUGUCUAGUGUCUACGAUAUAUCGCUCAUCCAGAACGACAGUGUCAUAAUUACAUUUUUGUAACUUUACAGUAUGAGUAUUUGAAAGUUUGGGACUAAAAAUUUAGGGAAGUUCUUCAUAUUAUCGAAUUAUGUUUUACAUACUUGUCCAGGUUAGUUAAUAAGUGUUUCCGAAUGGUUGUUCAAUAGAGCUUGCCCCCGCAAGGUCUGGAAAGAUGUCUGAGAUGACUAUCUUCAAUGGUAUGGGACUGGUCAGAGAUUUGUUUUAGCAUUUCAUACCAAAUUCAAAUCAAGAAUCCGGAAGCGAACC